UACGGGGGGGGCAAGCGUUGUUCGGAAUUACUGGGCGUAAAGGGCUCGUAGGCGGCCAACUAAGUCAGACGUGAAAUCCCUCGGCUUAACCGGGGAACUGCCUCUGAUACUGGAUGGCUUGAGAUUGGGAGAGGGAUGCGGAAUUCCAGGUGUAGCGGUGAAAUGCGUAGAUAUCUGGAGGAACACCGGUGGCGAAGGCGGCAUCCUGGACCAUUACUGACACUGAAAAGCGAAAGCCAGGGGAGCAAACGGG
rnacentral:rRNA from 1 species